rnacentral:misc_RNA from 1 species
CAACCCCUCAGGCCCUGGUGCCUGGCGUCGGGGCGCUUCCCCCUCCCCGGGAACCCCUCAGAAACAGUGGCGGACCCGCCGCGGCUCCGAGCGCAGUAGUGUAAAAAUUUCUCGCUUGGGAGGUCCGCGGUGGAGCCCGGCCGUUAAACCGGGACCCCUUCUCCCCCCGGGGGAGGUCCCACACACCCAA